rnacentral:snRNA from 1 species
GUGCUCGCUUCAGCAGCAUAUACACUAAAAUUGGGACGAUUUAGAGAAGAUUAGCAUGGCCCCUGUGCAAGGAUGACAUGCAAAUUCAUGAAGAGUUCCAUAUUUUU